GAUGAACGCUAGCGGCAGGCCUAAUACAUGCAAGUCGGACGGGAUUCAGGAGCUUGCUUCUGAUGAGAGUGGCGCACGGGUGCGUAACACGUAUGUAACCUACCUUUAUCAGGGGGAUAGCCUCUCGAAAGAGAGAUUAAGCCCGCAUAAAAUCACAGCACAGCAUUGUGUAAUGAUCAAAUAUUUAUAGGAUAAAGAUGGGCAUGCGGAACAUUAGCUAGAUGGCGGGGUAACGGCCCACCAUGGCGACGAUGUUUAGGGGAUCUGAGAGGAUGGCCCCCCACACUGGUACUGAGACACGGACCAGACUCCUACGGGAGGCAGCAGUAAGGAAUAUUGGUCAAUGGGCGGAAGCCUGAACCAGCCAUGCCGCGUGCAGGAAGACGGCCCUACGGGUUGUAAACUGCUUUUAUACGGGAAUAAACCCAGAUACGUGUAUCUGGCUGAAUGUACUGGAAGAAUAAGGAUCGGCUAACUCCGUG
rnacentral:rRNA from 1 species